ACAACUCUCAACAAAAGAUAUCGUGGCUCUCACAUCGAUGAAGCAUGUAGUGAAAUGCGCUACUUGGUGUGAAUUACAGAAUCCUGUGAACCAUCAAGUCUUUGAACACAAGUUGCAUCCCAAGCCAUUAGGCUAAGGGCACACCUGCCUAGAUGUUAUGCAUCAUCACCCCUUCUAACCCCCAACCUAUUAGGCUCUAGGUGAGGGGGCAAAAGAUGGCCUCCCAUGAUCUUAUCAGUCUUGGUUGGCCCAAAAGUGAGUCCCUAGCAAUGAUAAUGUCGUGAUCAUUAAUGGUAAAUCCCCUAAUAUGCCUUGCCACCGUUGAUGUUGUUUAUUGUCCAUCAGAACCCCAUUGGACCCCUUGCAUCACUUGGUCGAUGCUUGCAUCACAACCCCAAGUCAGAUAAGAUUACCCACUAAGUUUAAGCAUAUCAAUGAGUGGAGGAAAAGAAACUUACCAAGAUUCCCUAGUAACAACUAGCAAACCAAGAAGAGCCUAGCUUGAGAAUUGUGCACUCGUAGCAUCUGAAUUGUAGUCUAGAGAAGUGUCCUCAGUGGUAGACCCAGACUAAGUACCCUAGAAAGGGAUGCCGAAUAGGGUGAGAGCCCUGUUGUGCCUGGACCCUAUCAUACCAUGAAAUGCCAUCUACAAGUCUAGUUGUUUGGGAAUACAGCCCCGAUUAGGCAACAAAUUUUGUCCAAGGCUAAAUACGAGCGAUAACCUAAUAGUGAAAAAAUACUGCAAGGGAAAGAUGAAAAGGACUUUGAAAAAAAAGUCAAAGAGUGCUUGAAAUUUUCAUGAGGGAAGUAAAUAACGACUAGCGAUGUAUCCCAGUUAGAUGUAGAGCAGCAAGAAUCAAUUCAUCAAUCGGCUUAAGGCAUGGACUGACAUAGAUCAUGGCAGUGGCCUAAGCCUAGGCUUUUGAUAUGCCCAAAGAGAUAUCGUUGCCACUAUCAUGGAAUGCAGCAUUCACUACUUAGACAAGCCUUGGAACCCAUAUACUCCCGACAUCUGCUUAUGGGUUCCCUAUUUGGCCUGUGUUGAAACAUGGACCAAGAAUUCUAACAUGUGUAUGAGUCAAUGGGCUAGAAAACCCAGAAAGUGCAAGGAAGCUGAUUAGCGAGAUCCCUCACAUUUGCACCACUGACUAACCUUGAUAUUUUGAGAAGGGUUUGAGUGUGAUCAUACUUGUCGGGACCAAAAUAUGGUGAAUUAUGCCUAAGUGGGGUGAAGUUAGAGGAACCUCUGGUGGAGGCCUGCAGCGAUACUGACAUGUAAAUCAUUCAUCUGACUUUGGUAUAGGGGUGAAAGGCUAAUUGAACCAUCUAGUAACUGGUUCCCUCUAAAGUUUCUCUCAAUAUAGUUGGAGCCCUUAGCGAGUUCUAUUGGGUAAAGCCAAUGAUUAGAGGCAUUGGGGAUGCAGUGCUAUGACCUAUUCUCAAACUAUAAGUAGCUAGGAUGACAUGGCUACUUCAUUGAACUACACCACAGAAUCAAGAGUACUAAGUGGGACAUUUUUGGUAACAAAAUUGGUGAUGUAAGAUGAACUUAAAGCCAGAUUAUGGUGCCUAACUACGUACUAGCCUAGAAUCCAAAAAAGGUGUUGGUCAAUUAAUACAGCAAGACGAUGGUCAUGGAAGUCAAAAUCUUCUAGAAAGUGUGUAACAACUCACCUACCAAAUCAAAUAGCCCCAAAAAUGGAUGGCCUUCAACGCUCGACUAUACAUGACCGUUGGGGCAAGGGCCAAGCCCCAAUGAGUAGGAAAGUAAGGUAAUUGCUGUAAAACUUGAGGUGUGAGCCCAUAUGGAGCGACCAUUGGUGCAGAUCUUGGUGUCAGUAGUAAAUAUUCGAAUGAGAACUUUGAAGGUCAAAAAAAGGAAAGGUUCCAUGUAAAUGGCACUUGCACAUAUGUUAGUUGAUCCUAAGAGAUGAGGGAAGCCCAUCUGAUAGCACCAUCAGCACGAGCUUCAAAAGGUUAUUGGGUUAAAAUUCUUGAAUUAGGACAUGGUGGCUAAUAGCAAUGUUAAGGAGUCUAAAGACAUCAGCAAAGGCCUUGGGAAGAGUUACCUUCUUUGUUUAACAACCUACCCACCCUAAAAAUGGCUUAGUCAAAGAUUGGGUCUAGCAGCUGAAAUAGCAUUGCUCAUCAUGCAUUGUUUGGUGUGCCCCCAAUAGCCAUUGAAUAUCCAAAAGACCAUGUGCCUUCCUUAGCCAAUCAUACUCAUAACCACAUCAAGUCUCUAAGAUGAAUAGCCUCUAGUCCAUGGAAAAAUAUUGGCAAGGGAAAUCAGCAAAAUGGAUUCAUAACCUCAAGAAAAAGAUUAGCUCUGAAGGUUGGGCACAAGGGUCGUAGUCUCAAACCUAUUAGCUGCUAGUGCAUUGCUCGAGCAACUCCCAUAGUGAAAGUAGGUCAUUGCAUGCCUACUGAAGGACAAACUGGGAAUAGCUUCCUUAAAGGCCUUCCCUAGGUGAUAAAUAGUUGACUUAAAACUAGUACGAACAAAGGGAAUCUACCUAUUUAAUUAAAACAAAGCUUUACCAUGGUCCUUACAAAUGCUUAUGCAAUGUGAUUUUUGCCCAAUGCUUUGAAUGUCAAAGUGAAGAAAUUCAACCAACCACGAGUAAAUUGUGAGGGUAACUAUAACUCUCUUAAGGUAGCCAAAUGCCUCAUCAUCUAAUUAGUGACACGCAUGAAUGGAUUAAUAAGAUUCCUACUAUCCCUAUCUAUUAUCCAUUGAAACCACACCAAAGGAAUGGGCUUAGUAAAAUCAAUGGAGAAAGAAGAGCCUAUUGAGGUUCACUCUAGUCUGACUUCAUGAAAUGACUUGAGAGUUGUAGGAUAAUUGGGACCCCUUAAGUGAAAUUAAAAUACCAUUACUUUUAACAUUAUUUUAUUUUUUCUAUGAAUUAGAGGUAGGGCACAACCCUUUCUUUUGAACCCAAGGCCAGUCUUGAUCAGUCAAUCUAGGUGAAUGACAUUGUCAAAUAGGGAGUUUGGGUAGGGCGGCACAUCUAUUAAAAGAUAAUGUAAGUGUUCUAAGUUAAGGUUAAUAAGAACAUAAAUCCUAUAUGUAACCAAGAGGUAAAAGCUGAUCUAAUUGUGAUUUCCAAUAUGAAUAUGACCAUGAAAGUAUGGCAUAUCAAUCUUUAGACCUUCAAAAUUUAAAGCUAAAGGUGUCAAAAAAGUUACCACAAGGAUAAUUGGCUUAUGACAGCCAAGCGUUCAUAGCGAUAUUGCUUUUUGAUCUUUUGAUAUUGGCUAUUCCUAUCAUUGUGAAGCAAAAUUUACCAAGUGUUGGAUUGUUCACCCAGUAAUAGGGAACGUGAGCUAGGUUUAGAUUAUCUUAAAACAAGUUAGUUUUACCUUACUAAUGGUAGCAUCACAAUAGUAAUUCAACCUAGUAUAAGAGGAACCAUUGAUUCACAUAAUAAGUCAUUGUGCUUGGUUGAAAAGCUAGCUGCAUAAAGCUAUCGUGUGCUGGAUUAUGAUUGAACACCUCUAAGUCAAAAUCUAGGAUAGAAGCAAUGCAAGCACCAAUUGCCCAUAUGUUGACCUAUAGUAGGGGUCCAUAGUCCCCAAGGGCAUGUGCCAUAGAUGUAGCCCUUGCAACGGACAAGCUGUGCAAGCUUUUUUGGGGCUCAAUUCC
rnacentral:rRNA from 1 species